GUGGGGAAUAUUGGACAAUGGGCGCAAGCCUGAACCAGCCAUGCCGCGUGCAGGAAGACGGUCCUAUGGAUUGUAAACUGCUUUUAUUUGGGAAUAAACUCCGGUACGUGUACCGGCCUGAAGGUACCAAAUGAAUAAGCACCGGCUAACUCCGUGCCAGCAGCCGCGGUAAUACGGAGGGUGCAAGCGUUAUCCGGAAUCAUUGGGUUUAAAGGGUCCGCAGGCGGUCUUAUAAGUCAGUGGUGAAAGCCUACAGCUCAACUGUAGAACUGCCAUUGAUACUGUAGGACUUGAAUUCGAUCGAAGUGGGCGGAAUGUGACAUGUAGCGGUGAAAUGCUUAGAUAUGUCACAGAACACCGAUAGCGAAGGCAGCUCACUAGGUCUGGAUUGACGCUCAGGGACGAAAGCGUGGGGAGCAAACAGGAUUAGAAACCCGAGUAGUCC
rnacentral:rRNA from 1 species